UCCAGUCUUUGACAAAGCUGUUCCCAUAUGU
rnacentral:piRNA from 1 species